rnacentral:rRNA from 1 species
GACGAACGCUGGCGGCGUGCUUAACACAUGCAAGUCGAACGGAAAGGCCCUGCUUGCCGGGUACUCGAGUGGCGAACGGGUGAGUAACACGUGGGUGAUCUGCCCUGCACUUCGGGAUAAGCCUGGGAAACUGGGUCUAAUACCGGCUAGGAGCCAUUUUUAGUGUGAUGGUUGGAAAGUUUUGUCGGUGUAGGAUGAGCUCGCGGCCUAUCAGCUUGUUGGUGGGGUAAUGGCCUACCAAGGCGGCGACGGGUAGCCGGCCUGAGAGGGUGGCCGGCCACAUUGGGACUGAGGGACGGCCCAGGCUCCGACGGGAGGCAGCAGUGGGGAAGAUUGAACAAUGGGCGCAAGCCUGAUGCAGCGACGCCGCGUGGGGGAUGACGGUCUUCGGGUUGUAAACUCCUUUCGCUAGGGACGAAGCUUUUUGUGACGGUACCUAGAUAAGAAGCACCGGCUAACUACGUG